rnacentral:rRNA from 1 species
CAGCAGCCGCGGUAAUACGAAGGGGGCUAGCGUUGCUCGGAAUGACUGGACGUAAAGGGCGCGUAGGCGGCGGCCAAAGUCAGGCGUGAAAUUCCCGGGCUCAACCUGGGGGCUGCGUUUGAUACUUGGUUGCUUGAGUGGGGAAGAGGGUCGUGGAAUUCCCAGUGUAGAGGUGAAAUUCAUAGAUAUUGGGAAGAACACCGGUGGCGAAGGCGGCGACCUGGUCCUUUACUGACGCUGAGGCGCGAAAGCGUGGGGAGCAAACAGGGUUAGAUACCCCUGUAGUCCCUGUCUCUUAUAC